rnacentral:rRNA from 1 species
AUUGAACGCUAGCGGGAUGCCUUACACAUGCAAGUCGAACGGAGUGGCGAACGGGUGAGUAAUGUAUCGGAACGUGCCCAGUAGCGGGGGAUAACUACGCGAAAGCGUAGCUAAUACCGCAUACUCUUGGAGUGGCCUAUAGCGGAGUAGCUAGUUGGUGGGGUAACGGCUCACCAAGGCGACGAUCCGUAGCUGGUUUGAGUGGACGACCAGCCACACGGGAACUGAGACACGGCCCAGACUCCUACGGGAGGCAGCAGUGGGGAAUUUUGGACAAUGGGGGAAACCCUGAUGCAGCCAUCCCGCGUGUGCGAUGAAGGCCUUCGGGUUGUAAAGCACUUUUGGCAGGAAAGCGGUACCUGCAGAAUAAGCACCGGCUAACUACGUGCCAGCAGCCGCGGUAAUUC